CGAGCCGAGGAAGCCGAAGCGACACGGGAGUGCUCUCACUCCCUUAUCCAUCUGCCACCGGGCCUCGGCCCGCCACGCUCCCUCGCUCGCCUGGGCCUGCCUCUUGCUCCGCUGACCCACUGGGCCGGCGGGGAUGGCGACGGCGGAGGUGCUGCGGCGGCCGGUCACGGGGGAGAGGGCCGGCGCGCCGGCUCCGCCUCCACGGGCCCAACGUCGUCGUCUGCUCCCACCACGUCAAGGACGGAAGCAUGUUUCGAGAAUUCCUGAUGACAAUCUUCUCACUCUGGGGAUGGCAUCAUGUCCUCCCUGAGUACAAGGCCAUGCUCUGCGUCAUACUUAAUUCCAUGCCAUGGGUUACUGUACUAACUACAGUCGUGUCUCUCACCAUCACAUCAGCUGCUCAGAGAUCUUACGUGCUGACCGCCGUCAUCUUCUUACUAGCUACAACCUUGGUAGCAUGCUUUGCUGCAAAGCUUGUUGUAGAGUAUGCUAAGGCGCCUCUGGAGGCCAAAGCAUACGCACCAAGGGCCAAGGUGCUGAGAGACGGGAGUCGGAUAGAUGUGCACGCAGAUAAUUUCGUCCCUGGGGAUAUCAUAUUUCUCAAGGUUGGGGAUAUUGUCCCUGCCAAUGCUCGUGUCCUCUGGUUUCACAAAAUUGACAUGCUGACUUGCUGAGCUAAAAGAUCUGUUGACUGUGUGCAUGGCUUCCUCAUAUAUUAUGCUUGGACGGUGUCAUGUGGCCAAGGGACUGCUGUUGUUAUUGCGACUGGCAGUGGUAUCCCUAGAUGCACACUGCGACUCUACCCACAGCGUUAUGCUCGGCCAGGGCAACUUAAAGAGGGAAUCAUGGUUACUGGGUGCUUCUGUUUUUUCUCUUAUACUUGCUGGCACCGUUGCUGAGCUAGUCUUAAUAUUGCUCUUCCGUAAACACAACCUUGAGUACAUGCUGCACAAUUGCCACUUUAUGCCAUUGAUUGGUGGGAUUCCAAUGGCAAUGCCCAUUGUCCUCUACCUGGCAUUAGCAUUGGGAUCUCUAAGGCUUUGUUUUCUGGGAAUUGCUAGCCGAGGAACAGUUGCACUUGAAGAUCUGGCCGGUACGGAUGUGAUGCUCUUCAACCUGAUUGGUACUCCCUCUGUAAACUAAUAUAAGAGCGUUUAGAUCACUAUUUUAGUAAUCUAAACACUCUUAUAUUAGUUUACGGAGGAAGUACUUUAAUGUUUAAUAAGCCAUAUUUGUUCCGGGACAAGAUUGAGUUGUUUGCUGACGGUUUUAACAAAGAUCAAGCUAUUAUAUUAGCUGCACGAGCAUCAAGAUCUCAACAUGAAUUCUAUAUAUAUAGAGCCAAUUGAUGCAGCUAUUCUGAGCCGCUUGGAUGAUCCAGAACAGGCAAGAACUGGUAUUGAGGUCUUAGAACACCAUUCCCGCUUCUUUGUUGCACUGAAGUUGAUGUUCCUAACUACAUACAUUGAUAGCAAUGGACCCAAGUGCUGCGUAUUCAAAGGUGAUCCAUCGAAGGCAAGUCAUAAUGUC